rnacentral:rRNA from 1 species
UACGUAGGGGGCGAGCGUUGUCCGGAAUUAUUGGGCGUAAAGAGCUCGUAGGCGGUUCGGCAAGUCACGUGUGAAAUCUCCACGCUCAACGUGGAGGCGCCACGUGAGACUGCUGUGACUCGAGUCCGGUAGGGGAGCGUGGAAUUCCCGGUGUAGCGGUGAAAUGCGCAGAGAUCGGAAGGAACAUCAGUGGCGAAAGCGACUUCCUGGACCAAUACUGACGCUCAUGUGCGAAAGCGUGGGGAGCAAACAGG